rnacentral:rRNA from 1 species
UAAUACCCUAUAGGUUACAGAUGCUGGAAUGCUCUGUAAUCAAAAGUUCCGGCGCCCUAGGAUGGAUCUGCGGCCGAUUAGGUUGUUGUUGGGGUAAUGGCCCAACAAGCCAGUAAUCGGUACGGGUUGUGGGAGCAAGAGCCCGGAGUUGGAUUCUGAGACACGAAUCCAGGCCCUACGGGGCGCAGCAGGCGCGAAAACUUUACAAUGCGGGCAACCGUGAUAAGGGAACCUCGAGUGCCUGUAAAUGCAGGCUGUUCAGAUGCCUAAAACACAUCUGGAGAAAGGGCCGGGCAAGACCGGUGCCAGCCGCCGCGGUAAUACCGGCGGCUCGAGUGGUGGCCACUUUUAUUGGGCUUAAAGCGUUCGUAGCUGGGUUGUUAAGUCUCUUGGGAAAUCUGGCGGCUUAACCGUCAGGCGUCUAAGGGAUACUGGCAAUCUUGGAACCGGGAGAGGUGAGGGGUACUUCGGGGGUAGGAGUGAAAUCCUGUAAUCCUCGAGGGACCACCUGUGGCGGAGGCGCCUCACCAGAACGGCUUCGACAGUGAGGGACGAAAGCUGGGGGAGCAAACCGGAUUAGAUACCCGGGUAGUCCCAGCCGUAAACUAUGCGCGUUAGGUGUAU